UAUCAGUUUCUGAAAUGCAACAGCUGCACCAGAUUGGUUGGUAAUAGAUUUGAACAUUAUAAGAAAUGCAUUCAGUAUGCAAUUCAGAGUGGGGGAAAAACUGCCUGUAUAACAAUCUGCUAGUUUAGGGAAUGUGGAGCGAGGAUUCUCCACGAAGAGGUGAGACUUGGCAUCUCAUUUGUAGGUGUUUGUAUGCAAGGUAUGUAUGGGGAUAUCCCAUGUGCUAGUAGAUUACCAUACAGGCAUGAGAACUAUAAAUUCAUUAUUCAAACAUGAUAAAUUUUCCUUAACAAAUUUGUGAAGAAAAUGCCACUCUGUUCAGUUGAGGC
rnacentral:lncRNA from 1 species